rnacentral:rRNA from 1 species
AUACGUAGGUGGCUAGCGUUGUCCGGAAUUACUGGGUGUAAAGGGCGUGUAGGCGGGACGAAAAGUCCGAUGUGAAAUCCCACGGCUCAACCGUGGAAUUGCACCGGAAACUUUCGUUCUUGAGUAUCGGAGAGGAAAGCGGAAUUCCUAGUGUAGCGGUGAAAUGCGUAGAUAUUAGGAGGAACACCGGUGGCGAAGGCGGCUUUCCGGCCGAAAACUGACGCUGAGGCGCGAAAGCGUGGGGAGCAAACAGGAUUAGAUACCCUGGUAGUCCACGCCGUAAACGAUGGAUACUAGGUGUGGGAGGUAUCGACCCCUUCCGUGCCGGAGUUAACACAAUAAGUAUCCCACCUGGGGAGUACGAUCGCAAGAUUGAA